UGAUGGUAAAUACCGAGUGUCGACUGGAUUGAAGGAUGCAAAGUAUUGAUCCUGGGUGUGUCUGUGAGGGUGUUGCCAAAGGAGGUUAACAUUUGAGUCAGUGGGCUGGGGAAGGCAGAUCCAACCUCAAUCUGGUGCGCCAUCUAAUAAGCUGCCAAUGAAUAUAAAGCAGGCAGAAAAACAUAAGAAGGUGAGACUGGCCUAGCCUCCCAGCCUGCAUCUUUCUCCCAUGCUGAAUGCUUCCUGUCCUCGAACAUCAGACUCCAAGUUCUUUAGUUUUGAGACUCGGACUGGCUUCCUUGCUCCUCAAGCUUGCAGACAGCCUAUUGUGGGACCUUGUGAUCAUAGAUCCUUGAUUAAUACAGAUGGGGUCCCACUAUGCUGCCCAGGCUGCUUUCAAACAGGGUCUUAACUCUGUCACCCAGGCUGGAGUGCAGUGGUGUGACCACAGCCACUGCAGGCUCAACCUCUGGGACUCAGGUGAUCCUCCCAUCUCAGCCUCCCAAGUAGCUGGGACUACAGGUUGCUUCUUCCAGAUCCCUUUUGAUCUACUUUCAGCUAUGGAUUCAUGAGAAUCAAGACUAAGCAGCCUGAAUUGAAGGAGUAACAGUAUCACCUAACAAUGAUUUUGCUGCCAUAGUAGCUGUUUGUAUACUGGCCAUAUGCCUAGGUAAAAUGAGGCCAGAUCACUCUCAAGAGUUUUCUAUCAGAGUUGGUGGUGAACUACUGCUCACGGAUAAUGGGUCUCACUCACUUUGUCAUCCAGGCUGGAGUGCAGUGGUGGGAUCUCAGCUCACUGCAACCUCCACCUCUUGGGUUUAAGCAAUUCUCCUGCCUCAGCCUCCCAAGUAACUGGGAUUACAGACGAGAAACCCCAGCUGAGGAGGCAAAUAUACUCAAGGAAAGUAAUAGUUUCCAAAUGCCUGGCAGUGCCAGGAAGGGGCCAUGUCCAUGGACCACUAUGUAAGGAUAUCUCAGUCUCUAGUCCAGCGUGGUUUAUGGUGCCAAAUAAGUGCCAGGUGAACUCACUACAUCUGACAAAAUCUCAAGGAACCAAGUUUACCAGAUAAUAUUUAUGAUUAUGUGAAAAAGACUGAGGAAAUCACUCAAGUGAUCCAUCAUACAGCACCUCCAGUUCCAAAGAAUACUGACUUACUUCAGCUGUACUGGUCUGGAGCUGCACAUUCUUUUCAGACAACUCUUGUUCCAGCUAGAGUGCAAUGGUGCAACCUCAGCUCACUGCAACCUCCGCUUCCCAGGUUCAAGCGAUUCUCCUGCUUCAGCCUCCCUGGUUGCUGGGAUUACAGGUGCUCAUCACCAUGUGCAGCUAAUUUUUUGUAUUUUUAGUAGAGACAGGGUUUUACCAUGUUGCCCAGGCUGGUCUCGAACUCCUGACCUCAGGUGAUCCACCCACCUCAGCCCCCCAAAGUUCUGAGAUUACAGACGUGAGACACUGCACCCGACCGGGGUGUUCAUUUUCUAAAAUCUUAAGUUGAAUGCCUUUUAAAAAAAAAAAGUCUAUUUAAACUCUGAGUUUACUGCCAAGAAUUGCCUUGACUAGGUUUUCAGAGGCAGUAUUUUUCUUUUUCCUUAUUUUCUAAAUUGAACUUUUCUUUCUUGGCUUACAUUCUACAUUGUAGAAUUAUGUUACAAUUUACUAGGGGUUGAGAUGUGGUGUGUUUAAACAUAUGAUUGGUUGGCUUAAACAUAUAAUUUGUUUUUACUUGUAUU
rnacentral:lncRNA from 1 species